CCAGCAGACACACGGAAGAAUUUUUAAUAUAAUAAUGUCCCGGCCGGCGCAGCCUCCGUCCCGCCCCUGCGCCCCUGUUAUAUAUCCGGCACAGGCUGGCCCGCUUGUUGCUCCGGCCGCGACACCCACCGGCCUAGUAGCUCUCGCCAUCCACAUCGCCUGUAGCUGCAUGCGGUGAUCGCGGCGGCGGUGCAGGCCACAGACGUACGCGCGCGGGCUGGCUGUCGGGCGCGCGGAUGCGCCGGCCGCGGCGGGCGGUGACAGAAGAGAGUGAGCACACGGCCGGGCGGAACGGCACCGGCGGAUGGUGCCGUCGCGGACGCGUGCUCACUGCUCUAUCUGUCAUCCACUCUCUCCCCCGCUCCGCUCCGGUCGCUUUGCCGCCGAUCUGUCGAAGCACCGCAGCUGACUAGCCGCCGUGAUCACCGCGCGCACCGGCCGGCGCCGCGCUUCUGGCACUAGUAGCUAGCUAGGUGGUGCACCGCUCCACACGCCCAUCUUCUUGUUCGCGUCAUUGUAUGCCGCGGAACCACCGCGCGCUAGGCGUUGGUGCCCGGCGGUACGUCGUCGUCCCGUCUCCCGUCCGCAGGAAUUUCUAUUUCUGGGCGGUUCGUACGUACGGAUGGUCUCCCCCUGGAUGCUGGAUCUGAGCUUUUUGGGCGCGCGGGUGUACCUCCUCGCACGGAUUUGCCCCCCUCCCCCUGUCGCCUGGUACGGAAGGGGAUCCACCUGCGCCCCCUGCCAACUUCUCGGGAAGGUAAAAAUCGGUAUGUUUGGUCGUCGGUGUGGAAUGUGAAUUCUUCGAUGUUCAUCGUUUGGAAGUCUCCAGAUUCUGGAUGUCGUCGCCGCCAUGGCAGAAAGGAAUUCCAAAGGCUCCAAGAGCACGCCGCCAGCCUGUCGACUCUUCCAUCUCAGUUCUCAGAUCUGCUCAUCAUCAUCAUCGUCAUCAUUCACUCCUUUCUCCUUUGUCAGGUUAGUACUGGCGCUCCCGACCCAUUCAUUAGCAGGAGAUGGAUAGAUAACGCCGCAGUCUGCAGAUCCUGUUCAUACAGUCCGUCCCUGUGUGGUAUAGAUGGUCGGCAGCAGCCAUUAUAUUUGUGAUGUCACGUUUCUGCUCGAGCCUCUACAGAAUGGCAGGGAGUAGGGACUAGGUCGCUAUCGAGACGACACUGUUCCAUUCGUGACGUCUCGUGCUUAUCUCUUCAAUGAGAUCUGCCCUGUUCGUCUUCAGUCAAUUUUUCGCUCUUGGUGAAGAUUCUUGUAGUCCUUGAUAACAGCUGUGUCGUCUGCGUAGAACGUUGUAUGUGUUUCAUCAACAUUUUAAUAUACAAUAUAUAUAUAGAGAAAGAUUGUAUAUUA